GAAGAGUUGAUGUCGCAUUGGUCGGUGUAGGCUGCGCAUGCUUAUUGACAUGACGGCGUUUUGGAAAGUCAACUUUGAAUCAUGUUUCACCCCCAGUCAGUUUCUUAGACGAUAAAAUUAAUUUAAAAAAACAAACAAACCCAACAACUUUACACCCAGCUUUGCUAAAAUGUAUUUAUCUGUAGGCUAAGUAAGGUAGCUAAGAUAGGUAGCUAAGAUAGGUAGCCAGCCUAUGGUGGGCCAGGCAAGGAGACGCUGAACACUAAUUAAGUUUACCCCUUAUUUAUCUCUAUAUUAUUUAUACAGUCUAUGGUUUACCCCAGCUAACCGGAAAUGAGCGACAGUGGAGCUGGACUUGCUCAAGUCUACAUUUGAUGUUCUACAGUGUUCAAAAGAGGCUCCACAGCGAGAGAUGUGUCACAGCUCUGAGAGUCAAACAAGAGUGUUGUCAACACAUGGACGUGGUUGUUAUAGUGAGGAGAGAGCAUGCUGGAUUCUCCCAAGGAUUGCUCUUCUGAGAGGCUGCAGUUUAUUACAAAUGGGAAAGCUUUCAUUGCAGAUUGCCCCAGCGCUGCAAAGAGCCUCUCACAGUCAUGUUUGGCUGCUCCUGGGGGAUCCUGAGGCAUUCCCACUCUGGCCAGAAUAUGUCGACCUCUUCAGCAUGUUAUUGGUCUGCCCAAGGGUGCCCUUCCUGAUGAACGUGCCGGACUACCUCCACAGUUUGGUUUACAGCAAACAGUGAAACAAGUCAACAGCGUAGUUGGAGGCAAGGCUCAGUGAGCUCAGGGGACGCCUUCUGUGAAACGCUUUCCUGCCUCCAUCCACUCCUCCAUCUUUCAAGCCUCAUUGCCCUCCAUAGGUGUGACUUCGUGUGUUGACUCCAGCGCUCACUGUUAGACCCUUAGAGUUGUGGUUAUAGUGUGUGGAAAACCCCAAAGCGCACACACACACACACACACACACACACACACACACACACACACACACACACACACACACACACACGCACACGCACACGCACACACUGUCAUCCCGGCCAGGACCACCACCUGCCCUGGCCUGUGCUCCCUUUCCCCCAGCCAGGGAAGCUCAAGCCUGGGCACUCUGGGCAGCAGCCCAGCCUUUCACAUCCAGGUCCAGGGCCGAGAGACAGGGGCCAACAGCUGGCGGUGUGCAGAAGGAGCCUGGAGGCUUCCACAGCAGAUGAAUCACCACGGAUUAAUAUUUAACUCCAGACUCCUGCUCCCCUCUAGCAUCUCUCCUUCCUCCCCUCUCUCUUCUUACAACCUUCCUUCUCCCCCAUCCAUCUUUCCAAGCCCCGUUCCUGCAGGUAACUUGGCGUAUGCUCAACAGACCUAUACUGUGAAUAUGUGAUGGGGAUGCUCUUUUUCUAAUGUGAAGGCAAUUGGUGCAGAAUGAUUCCAACUCAACUAUGUUACUUUCUUUUGCAUGUUUGGGGGAUUGACUGUUGCAUCAUAGCAUUUUUGCAUGUCAGAUUCUUAUACCAAGUAGUUGCAAUUCUGUUAAUUGUUUUGUGAUAACAAAUAUGUAGUAAUUGACAGACUUUAUCAACAAUAAUAGCCAGUACAAUUUGAAAGGGUUUACCACGGUUUAAAGAUGCAUAAAUGAAACAAACUAUUGUAUUUCAUGAAGAAAUUAAUCCAGAGCAAAGCAGCCCUCCAAAUGGACGAGGGGCUUACA